rnacentral:rRNA from 1 species
AUUGAACGCUGGCGGCAUGCCUUACACAUGCAAGUCGAACGGCAGCACGGGAGCAAUCCUGGUGGCGAGUGGCGAACGGGUGAGUAAUGUAUCGGAACGUGCCCAGUCGUGGGGGAUAACGUAGCGAAAGCUACGCUAAUACCGCAUACGAUCUGUGGAUGAAAGCGGGGGACCGUAAGGCCUCGCGCGAUUGGAGCGGCCGAUAUCAGAUUAGGUAGUUGGUGGGGUAAAGGCCUACCAAGCCGACGAUCUGUAGCUGGUCUGAGAGGACGACCAGCCACACUGGGACUGAGACACGGCCCAGACUCCUACGGGAGGCAGCAGUGGGGAAUUUUGGACAAUGGGCGCAAGCCUGAUCCAGCAAUGCCGCGUGCAGGAUGAAGGCCUUCGGGUUGUAAACUGCUUUUGUACGGAGCGAAAAGGCCCUCUCUAAUACAGGGGGCUCAUGACGGUACCGUAAGAAUAAGCACCGGCUAACUACGUGCCAGCCGCCGCCGUAACAC